AAAUUGAAGAGUUUGAUCAUGGCUCAGAUUGAACGCUGGCGGCAGGCCUAACACAUGCAAGUCGAACGGUAACAGGAAACAGCUUGCUGUUUCGCUGACGAGUGGCGGACGGGUGAGUAAUGUCUGGGAAACUGCCUGAUGGAGGGGGAUAACUGCUGGAAACGGUAGCUAAUACCGCAUAACGUCGCAAGACCAAAGAGGGGGACCUUCGGGCCUCUUGCCAUCGGAUGUGCCCAGAUGGGAUUAGCUAGUAGGUGGGGUAACGGCUCACCUAGGCGACGAUCCCUAGCUGGUCUGAGAGGAUG
rnacentral:rRNA from 1 species